CCAUAUUGUUCUCUAGUUUAGAGAUCUAACAAGCAGAUUUAAAAGUUGGGUAAUCUUCCACAACAAUAAUGUCUGUAGUGCCUUUCUUCGUAUCUUCACUUCAAUGAAAUAUUUUUAUGGAGUACGUGGAAUCCCGUGUGAAUCAACAAGCACCACCUUGUAAAGCUAUAUACUCAUGAAUGACUGAUAGUGGAGUAGUAACGUGAGGAAAGAGUGACAAAAACCCAUUGAAGAAUAAAAUAAAACAUGAAACCGUAAGCUUGCAAGCAGUAGAAAAAGAUCAUGAUUCUGACCGCGUGCCUGUUGAAGAAUGAGCCGACAACUCAUAGAGAGUGGCUUGAUCAACAGAACUUAACAAAGCUGUAGCGAAAGCAAGUCCUCGUAGAGCAAUUGUCACACGAGAUUUAAUUAUGCUUCAACACGAGUAUGCUUCCCAAGCUGCAAACCAGGUAUAUAAGGAGCAGCCACUGCAAGAGAUGUUGAAUGGCAGAAGGGCUUUGCAGUACAGUGACAAUUCAACUUCUGAAGCUAAUUUAUCCACAUCAAAGUAGAGGAGAACAAGUUGAUGUUGGAAAUCUAUAUCAAUUGGAGCAGGAAAUGAAGCAAUCUUUAUAAGAGUACGUAAACCUCUCCCUUGCAAAUGCAUUUUAAAACAAUUCAAAAGGGAAAGCCUAGUACGGACAAUAUAUGUGGACAUGGGCAAUUACCAUCCGAACUUAAUUCAAUCAUGUCUGUUUAGUGAGUUGUUCUACUGAAUUGACUCACAAUAUAAUUCCAGAAUUGUUAAAAGUAUCAAA